AUUGAACGCUGGCGGCAGGCUUAACACAUGCAAGUCGAGCGGAUGAAGAGAGCUUGCUCUCUGAUUCAGCGGCGGACGGGUGAGUAAUGCCUAGGAAUCUGCCUGGUAGUGGGGGACAACGUUUCGAAAGGAACGCUAAUACCGCAUACGUCCUACGGGAGAAAGUGGGGGAUCUUCGGACCUCCCGGUCUCAGAUGAGCCUAGGUACGAUUAGCUAGUUGGUGAGGUAAAGGCUCACCAAGGCGACGAUCGUUAACUGGUCUGAGAGGAUGAUCGGUCCCACCUCAAGCUAGAAAAGGACGAGCCUCCUGCGGGAGGGAGCAGUGGCGAAUAUUGUACAAUGGGGGAUAUCUACAGUCAUCCAUGCCGCGCAUGUGAAGAAGGUCUUCGGAUUGUAAAGCACUGUAAGUUGGGAGGGAGGGCAGUAAGUUAAUACCUGGAUGUUUUGACGUUACCGACAGAAUAAGCACCGGCUAACUCCGUGCCAGCCGCCGCCGUAAAAC
rnacentral:rRNA from 1 species